GCUCUAGUACGGCGAGUGAGCAGCAAUAGCUCAAAUUUGAAAUCUGGCGUCUUCGACGUCCGAGUUGUAAUUUGUAGAGGAUGCUUCUGAGUAACCACCGACCUAAGUUCCUUGGAACAGGACGUCAUAGAGGGUGAGAAUCCCGUAUGCGGUCGGAAAGGUGCUCUAUACGUAGCUCCUUCGACGAGUCGAGUUGUUUGGGAAUGCAGCUCAAAAUGGGUGGUAAAUGCCAUCUAAGGCUAAAUAUUGGGGAGAGACCGAUAGCGAACAAGUACAGUGAUGGAAAGAUGAAAAGAACUUUGAAAAGAGAGUUAAACAGUACGUGAAAUUGCCAAAAGGGAAGGGUAGGAGGUCAGAGAUGCGGCCUGGGAUUCAGCCUUGCUUUUGCUUGGUGCUUUUCCCAGAUUGCAGGCCAACGUCGGUUUUGGGCACUGGAGAAGGGUAGGAGGAACGUGGCACCCCUCGGGGUGUGUUAUAGCCUCCUACUGGAUACAGCGACCGAGACCGAGGACAGCAGCGUACUCGCAAGAGCGGGCCUUCGGGCACCUUUACGCUUAGGGCGUUGGCAUAAUGGCCCUCUACCACCCGUCUU
rnacentral:rRNA from 1 species